UACGGGGGGGGCAAGCGUUGUUCGGAAUUACUGGGCGUAAAGGGUUUGUAGGUGGCCCGCUAAGUCACACGUGAAAUCCCUCAGCUUAACUGGGGAACUGCGUGUGAGACUGGCAGGCUCGAGGGCAGGAGAGGAACGCGGAAUUCCAGGUGUAGCGGUGAAAUGCGUAGAUAUCUGGAGGAACACCGGUGGCGAAGGCGGCGUUCUGGACUGUCUCUGACACUGAAGAACGAAAGCCAGGGGAGCAAACGGGG
rnacentral:rRNA from 1 species